rnacentral:rRNA from 1 species
UACGAAGGGGGCUAGCGUUGCUCGGAAUCACUGGGCGUAAAGCGCACGUAGGCGGCUUCUUAAGUCAGGGGUGAAAUCCUGGAGCUCAACUCCAGAACUGCCUUUGAUACUGAGGAGCUCGAGUCCGGAAGAGGUGAGUGGAACUGCGAGUGUAGAGGUGAAAUUCGUAGAUAUUCGCAAGAACACCAGUGGCGAAGGCGGCUCACUGGUCCGGUACUGACGCUGAGGUGCGAAAGCGUGGGGAGCAAACAGGG